AGUGAACGCUGGCGGUAGGCCUAACACAUGCAAGUCGAACGGCAGCACAGGAGAGCUUGCUCUCUGGGUGGCGAGUGGCGGACGGGUGAGGAAUACAUCGGAAUCUGCCCAGUCGUGGGGGAUAACGUAGGGAAACUUACGCUAAUACCGCAUACGACCUUCGGGUGAAAGAGGGGGAUCGCAAGACCUCUCGCGAUUGGAUAAGCCGAUGUCGGAUUAGCUAGUUGGCGGGGUAAUGGCCCACCAAGGCGACGAUCCGUAGCUGGUCUGAGAGGAUGAUCAGCCACACUGGAACUGAGACACGGUCCAGACUCCUACGGGAGGCAGCAGUGGGGAAUAUUGGACAAUGGGCGCAAGCCUGAUCCAGCCAUACCGCGUGGGUGAAGAAGGCCUUCGGGUUGUAAAGCCCUUUUGUUGGGAAAGAAAUCUUUCAGGCUAAUACCCUGGGAGGAUGACGGUACCCAAAGAAUAAGCACCGGCUAACUUCGUG
rnacentral:rRNA from 1 species